rnacentral:rRNA from 1 species
AGAGUUUGAUCCUGGCUCAGAUUGAACGCUGGCGGCAGGCUUAACACAUGCAAGUCGAGCGGUAGCACAGGGGAGCUUGCUCCCCGGGUGACGAGCGGCGGACGGGUGAGUAAUGUCUGGGAAACUGCCUGAUGGAGGGGGAUAACUACUGGAAACGGUAGCUAAUACCGCAUAACGUCGCAAGACCAAAGAGGGGGACCUUCGGGCCUCUUGCCAUCAGAUGUGCCCAGAUGGGAUUAGCUAGUAGGUGGGGUAAUGGCUCACCUAGGCGACGAUCCCUAGCUGGUCUGAGAGGAUGACCAGCCACACUGGAACUGAGACACGGUCCAGACUCCUACGGGAGGCAGCAGUGGGGAAUAUUGCACAAUGGGCGCAAGCCUGAUGCAGCCAUGCCGCGUGUGUGAAGAAGGCCUUCGGGUUGUAAAGCACUUUCAGCGAGGAGGAAGGUGGUGAGCUUAAUACGCUCAUCAAUUGACGUUACUCGCAGAAGAAGCACCGGCUA